CGGACGGGUGAGUAACACGUGGAUAACCUACCUAUAAGACUGGGAUAACUUCGGGAAACCGGAGCUAAUACCGGAUAAUAUAUUGAACCGCAUGGUUCAAUAGUGAAAGACGGUUUUGCUGUCACUUAUAGAUGGAUCCGCGCCGCAUUAGCUAGUUGGUAAGGUAACGGCUUACCAAGGCGACGAUGCGUAGCCGACCUGAGAGGGUGAUCGGCCACACUGGAACUGAGACACGGUCCAGACUCCUACGGGAGGCAGCAGCC
rnacentral:rRNA from 1 species